AUGUUCCUCUGUAGAUGUUUCCUUCACACAGAAGUACAGUCUGUUCCCUGCAAGUUUUUCCACCGGCGAAAUAAUUGUUCUCAAGGUGCAAACUGCCGAUUUUCCCAUGAGCCUCUUGACGAGGUCACAGGGCGAGUGUUGGAGAUGAUGCUGAAACGGGAGAAUGACUUCAUUGAACUUGCAAAAAAAGCUAAAGAGGAGGCAUCAGGACUGCCAGCGAAGCCGAUGGCGUCUGACAGCAACAGCACUGGCGUACAGCCGACCACUGAUGUGGUGACAACACUGCCUCUCAGGCCUAAUUUCUACAACAGCGCCGAGAAGGAAAUGCCUCCAGAAGAAGUCCCACCAUCGAAUGAUGAUAUUCCCAGUUCUCCAUCAACCCAAACCAACCACCAGCCGGAGCCCGUAUGCUACUCUGUACAAGCUGUGCUUGGACCAUCGCUCUCAAAACCAUUUACUGGUUUUCAGACAAAUUUUGGAGCUCAAGAAUCCACCUCACCAUCAGCUAAUUUUUCUUUACAUAAAAAUGAAGUUCCCUACUCAGUUGAGGCAAUGUUCGGAUCUUGUAAAACAGAGUCAAUGGCUAUUGGCCAAAAAACUGCCUCUCCAAAAUGGAAAACAAAAUGUUACUACCCCAGAGCAGAUCCUAUAGGAAACAUAAAAAGCUCCCAGAGUCCACAAGUGCACAAGGAGGAGGGUUCAUUAAACAACAAUAAAGAAAGUUUAAGUGAUUCCCCGAAACGCAUGUUUAAAACCCUACCAUCCUUGCAAGAGUUUACUAAGCGCUCCACUCAUGAUCUUGGGGCCGCUGGAGUUUCUGAGAAAUCUCCAAAGUCUUUGAAAACUACUCAAAGUUCUUCUUGUGAAGAGAUGCGUCUGCCUCUUGGUCCAGAGGCAAAAAAGUGUGAGUCAUCUGAUAUUAAGGUGCAUGUAAAGGAAAGUCAGUAUCAACCUAUAGGUAAUGCACACACUGCAAGCUUCAGCAGUUUUCCUUCUAGGACAUUUUCUUCUGCUACCUUUUGUGUCCCUUUAACUGAAUCUCCCCAAAGCUUACAGGACCAACACAAGAAGGACUCAUUGAAGACACUUAAAGAGGGAGUACUUGAAUUUGAGAAAACAAUGUAUAAGACCAUACCGUCCCUCCGAGACUCCACAAACAGUGCUGGUCUAUCUCAGGUCUUUAGAGAUAAGAGACAUCAAGAGUACUUGAAAACUGCUCCGGAAUCUUCAUACAAAGCCAAACCAAAGUUGUUGCCUCCUGCGAGCUCACAGAAAAUGAUCAGCCAACAUAAAACUCCUGAUUCUGCUUUUAAGACGUUGUCUUUUUCAACCCUUUUUGCAAGACCCAUCACCGACACUCUUGCUUGCACACCCCCCCUUGAGACAAAAGGUUCUUACUGCCCCAAAUAUGACCAGCUUCUUGAUGAACUCCCCAAAAGCUCGCAAGAUCUGCAUGAGGUUGAAUCAUUAGAUCCGGUUAAUAAUGUACCACUAAACUCCCAGGAAGGAAUAUUUAGCUGUUUACCGUCUCUACAGGAGAAAAAUAGAUGUUCAUGUCUUUCUAAAGUUUGUGGGGAGCAUGAGAGACUAAAAGAGUCCCUCAAAACUGCUGAGAGACCUUUUCACAAGGUCAGCUGUGAGAUGCAUCUUCCUUUUGUUGCCGCGAAGACGGAGAAAACGGAGUCCUCCUCUACCAAAGCAGACACUAAGGACGGUUCUUUCCACACUACAGAUGCCACACAAUCUGAAGGCCAUGGCAGUCGGGAAGCUUUGGAGUUUCCACACAAGAACUCGUCUAUUAGACCUUUUGCAAGACCCAUUACUGGCAGUGAGAUGUUAACUAAUUCAAGAAAUUUAGGACAAUUUCAAAAGUCGUCACAUCUUAAAAGUGAUCCUAGAAAUGAGGAGGUCUCAUUUGACACUGCUGGAAAAUGUCAAACACAGGAAAAAGUGUCGAGGUGCCCACUAUCGCUCCAUGAGUCUAAGACCUUUUCUGAUCUUUCGGAGACGUCCAGAUGUUCUAUGAAACACAAUAAGUCAAGAUCCCCUGAAACCCAGAUGUUUAAAUCAUCUACCCUUAAAGAAGAAAUAAACAAACAUUCGUACCAACCUAUCAAGACGUCACAGUCCAAAAGCCUUGACAAUCAGAAAAUUAUACAUUUUGAUUGUAGGGGAUCUAGUUUUUCAAGUCUUUUUGCAAGACCAAUCACUCACGCUGCCCUGUGUACCCCCCCUACUGAAAAAAAUACCAAAAGCCCACAACACCUAAACCAGAUGGUCUCAUUGGACAGAGAUAAAGUAUUAUGUUCUCCCAGUGAUACAACUCCCUUUACCAAUCUUUUUGCAAGACCCAGUGCUAGCAGUGUCCCCUUAAACAGAAAUUACCUCAAAGAGAUUAAUGAACCUUUUCAAAGCUCAGCACACCAAGACAAGAAGUUCUUAUUAGACACAGAUAAAGAGGGCGUACUUGUCACCAAGGUAAAUCCAUUUCGGAGCCUACCUUCUCUCCCAGAGACCAAGUCCUGUUCCAAUCUUCCCCAGGUCUCUCGCCUUAAUGAAAAACAUCAAGAGUGUUUGAAAUCAGGUCCAAGAAAUCCUCACAAGGUAAGCCAUAAGGUCUUGCCUCAAUCUGUUUCAGGGAGCGAAAUAAGUAAAUCCUUUAAAACCAAAAUAAAUGUGAAGGAAGAAUCUCACCAACAUACAGGUUUGACACAGUCUAAAGGCCAAAGAAGUCCAAAAACUCAAGAUUGUCUGGAUACAAAUAAUUUAUUUACCAGCCUUUUUGUCAUACCUAACACUGAUAGUUUGAUACCAUGUUCUCCUCACCCUCAAGGUGACAAUAUCUCUUUGAAGUCUCAAAAUCUAAGAGAAGAGGAUAAUCCUGUUGUUCAAACUUUGAACAAUAAGAUUGGGAACUUACCAUCUCUCCAAGAGACAAAACCACUGUCUGGUCUUCCUCAGUCCUCUGGAGAUCAUAGGAGACUCAAUGAGACUUUGACAAGUUCUCAAAGAUCUUCUUGCGAAGUACAACCAGAGUUGUCUCAUCCCUCUGAAGAUUCAGAGAAAUCUGAAUCCUUAAACACUGAAGCAGAAAUAAAGGAAAGUUCCUUCCAGAUUAAGGACACAACAACAAGGCCAAAUGUCCUGAGUAGUCUGCAGUCUUCUUCCAAACGUUCUGAACCACGUCGUCUUGAUACUACUUUUUCUAGCCUUUUUGUUGGAGCCUUGGCUGAUGGUGUGACAUCUAAUGCAGCUCAACCCCAUGUCAGUGUUGAAUUGGAACAGCUCAACGGAAAUGAAGAACUUUUACCUCCAUCUGGAAAUUCUGACUGUAAUCUGACUGAAGAACCUCUAAUGAGCUCAAACCACCAUAAUCGGAAUGCUCUGCCCAGAGUCUCACCCUCCAGAGGUUCACUUCUGAAAACCCUUUUUCUGAACCUGGGCCCUUUUCAAGUGGAUGGAAACCAGUGAAACCAACUGGCCAUUAGUUCUCUUGUACCUCUGAAGUUACAUUAGUAACACAUUUAAUUGACAAUUACUUUUAUCUCUAUUUUAUGUUAAUCUUAAAGCUGCUGGGGACGAUAUUUAAUAUAUUUGUUUUUAAAACACAGAUAGACAUAGUGCAGGCCUUAUCAAUCAAUAAAUUAAUGGGAUUUCUUCUGAAACUCGGAAUU
rnacentral:lncRNA from 1 species